AUAAACUAUGACGUAGGAGUAAAAAGGUGCUAUUAUUUGCCAGUUGAUGCUAUUAAGAUCAAUGUCCAGUGAGUAUUAGUGCCAGGCGUUGAAGCAAAGACUAUUUUCCAUGAACAUUAAAGCACUAAACUCUGGGAAGAAGAGGAGGAUGAAAAAUAAUCAGAUAAAUUUUGAAGUACAGCUGCUGAGAACAUAAAGUUAUAGAAAAUGCUGGGAAAGUACUGAAAUAAUGUAAACACUGAAAAUGAAGUACUGUAGGCUAUCCAGCCCUUUGAGUCUGCUACACUAUUUAUCAAUCUUCUCCCUCAGCUCCAGGUUCCUGCACUAUCAUGUGUCUGGUGUUUUUAUGACACAAAGGUCUAUUUACCUCUGCUUUGAUUGAACUUAAUUACGUCCGUGCAAGCAGGCAGCAUGACAGCCAGUCAAUCAGCAGGCCCAGAGUUCAACCCUGGAGCUCGAGUCCUGCCAUCUGCUGGGCCAGGGGUCAAAGAUCGAUCAGAAGUCUGGAAGUUGAUGCCCGACGGCUGAAGUCUGAAGACCUGUCCUCGAGUUGGAGGACCAUCCGUGUGUGUGUGUGGGUAGGUGAGAGGGAGGAAAGGGCCUUGCUUUGCUGUCAUUGUUUUGUUGCUUGUUGUGUUCUGCCUUGGUGUGCUCUGUGUUAUUCUUCCGAGCACUGUGGGCGCGCAAUGUUGCCGCUGGAAUGUGUAGCAACAUUUGUGGGCUGCCAUCUGCACAUUAUAAUUGUCUUGGUUGUUAACGCAAACGAUGCAGUUUCACUGUAUGUUGCAAUGUAGUGAAUUAAAUAAACCUGAGUCUGAAUCUUUACCUCCACAGAGCAUCAGGGUAGAGAAUUCAAAAGAUUCACCUCUCUCUGAUUGAAGGAUUUCUGAUGCACUAUCAAUUACUCCAAAAGACUGGAAGUAGAGUAAAUACUGAAAGGCUUUUAUUAACAGUAAAUGGUCCAACGUCCAUGCUGAGUAUCUGCCCCGGGCUGAGGGAGGAGCAGUGGCACAAUCACCUUUAUUCAGGGGUCUGUGGGAGAAGCCACAGGAGCAGUCAGCAGAGGGGCGUAUCCAGACAGGUAACCCAGUUACAACAUAUAUACACAUGGUUUACCACAAUUUCACACUCAUUUCAACUCCAAAUGGCCUUCUCCUUAUUCUGAGGCUGUGACUUCUGGUUCUGAAGCUCAGGUAGGGAAAAUGCCUUCCCUACAAUCAUCCUCUUGAGCAGAAUGAGGAUAUGGUAAGUUUCAAAGAGAUCAACUCUCAUCUAUUUAAACUCCAGACUAUGCAAACAUGGUCUACUCAAGUUCUUCUCAAGCAACAAAUCCACCACCUCAGCAGCCCCUCUAGUGACUUUUCAUUGCACAUCCUCCCCUCUGUGGCAGGUGUAUCCCCUUUAAAGCAAGACUUCAAUUGGAAACUGGAAGGAGGGUACUAAUAAUUCAUAUCAGAAUCAGAAUAAGAACCAGGUUUAAAAUCAUCGGCAUAUGUCAUGAAACUUGCUGACGUACUGGCAGCAAGACAAUGCAAGACAUGAUAAUAUAGAAAAAAAUAAAUAAGUGUAUCAAUUACAGUAGGUAUAAUAAGUGGUUAAAUUAAAAAUAGUGCAAAAACAGAAAUAAUAAAAGUGAGGUAGUGUUCAUGGGUUCAAUGUCCAUUUAAAAAUUGGAUGGCUUAUUGGGAAAGUAUAGAAAAUGAUUAACAUGGUAUUAUAUAUCCAGAAUUGCAGUUGGUAAAAUUCCAUCUUCCCUAGAACAUAUUGCUGCAAUUCUGCUCUGUCAUCACUGAGAGAUAGUCACAUCAGCCAUUACGGUCUGGUUUGGUUCAGCAUCCUCUCACAAUAUACGAAAACCACAGCAAACUCUCAAAGUUCAAAGUAAAUUUAUUAUCAAAGUACAAAUAUGUCACCAUAUACUACCCUGAGGUUUGUUUCCUUGCGGGCAUGCACAGUAAAUCCAAGAAGCACAAUAGAAUCAAUGAAAGACCAAAUCCAACAGGACAGAAAACGAUGUUCCCUCUAAACCAAAGGUUCUGAACCUGGGGUCUCAAGACUCUCAAUUAAUGGUAGGAGUCCAUGGGAACCCUUGUUCUGAACCGUGUGGUUGUGCAGCCACGCAGUAGAUGAAAUGCUCCCACAUACAAAAUCUUUGUUACCACACAGCGAGAAUAUUCUUUUUUUAAUUUUAAUAUUAAAGUGCCACACAGAUUUCAGGCCAUGUAAAAGUUUCCUACUCAGAGCAAUGGCUGGUCUAUGCAAUGGAAAAAAAAAAUAGAGGGAAUGUUGCAGACAAACAACCAAAGUGGAAAAAACAACAGACUAUGCAAAUACAAAAAGAAAGAGAGAAAAAAAAUGUUAAUAAAUAAAUAAGCAAUAAAUAUCAAGAACGUCAGAUGAAGAGUCCAUAGAAGUGAUUCUAUAGGUUGUGGGAACAGUUCAGUAAUGGGGCGAGUGAAGUUGAGUGAAGUUUCUCCUCUGGUUCAAGAGCCUGAUGGUUUAGGGGGUAAUAACUGUUCCUGAAUCUGGUGAUGUGGGUGCUGAGGCUCCUGAACCUUCUGCUUGAUGGAAGCAAGAGAGCAUGACCUGAAAGUCAGCAGAAAAAGUAACUGGCUGCAAUCUACCACCAUUACAGAACUUACGUGUGUCCAGGACAAAGAAGUAGGCGGGAAAUUAAGGACACUACCCACUUUUAGGUAUUUAAUAUUUUAGUAAUAUUUGCAUAAUAUUGUAAAUAUAUUGUUUGCUUAAGUACCCUUUAUUUGUUUGUAUAAUUCAUUUUGGGUUAUAUUAAGAAGAACGUGAAAGGCAUACGUCAUUACACCACCAUGUCAUAUGUAAAAGUAAAUAGACACAUUCCCCACCUGCAA